GCAUGUUUUCCUCUUACAUUUUAUUAUAAGUAUUUUUAAUGUUGUUACAUGGUUUUAUGGCUGUCGCUGUUAAUAGCUACCCAAGAGUUCACUGAAUUGAAGUGCUUGAUAUACUUAACUGGUUGUUAUCUUUAACAGUCUCCAAUUUCUUUUAAGUGUGUGCACCUCUGUGAUUGUCGUGUUCUCUUUAACACUCUGAACUCUCACACAGAGUUACAAUUAUUUGACUAAAGAAUAAAACUUCUUGUUGUUUCUUCGCGACAUAUAUUUCUCAGCAGAUUUCUAACGGGUGUGUCAGUUCACCCUGCUGCGCUUGUCAGUGAGGACCUCUUCGUCAUUUCCUUAGACAACCAGGCCUCCAGGGGUGGGGAUAGGGGCCGAGGGAAACGCGUCCCACCACCUUCGCCUGCGCAUGCGUCCUGCAAAGUUCCACGGCUUUAUGUUGCUCUGCGUCUCACAGACCGAGCAGCGGAUGACCCUGUGCGUGCUCUUCGCUUUCACCGCUGUCGGGAACUCUGCCGUGCUGCUCUCCACGCGGAGGAGGAAGAGGAAGUCCAGGGCGACCUUCUUCGUGGCUCAGCUCCACGCCACAGCACAUCCAAAUUUUCUGGUUUUCCUGUGAGCUACAUGCAAAAGAUUUAAACAAGAAUAUAAUCUUUGACAGAUUCAUACAAAUUACCCAGUGCUAACAAGACAAUAACAACUAAUGAAAAUGAUACAGUAAGGAAGAAUCUACCAACUUAAGAAAGUCCAAGACCUG
rnacentral:lncRNA from 1 species